CCAUCCCAGUUCGGAUUGCAGGCUGAAACCCGCCUGUAUGAAGUUGGAAUCGCUAGUAAUCGCGGAUCAGCAUGCCGCGGUGAAUACGUUCCCGGGCCUUGUACACACCGCCCGUCACACCAUGAGAGUCGGGAACACCCGAAGUCCGUAGCCUAACCGCAAGGGGGCGCGGCCGAAGGUGGGUUCGAUAAUUGGGGUGAAGUCGUAACAAGGUAGC
rnacentral:rRNA from 1 species